AGGACGAACGCUGGCGGCGUGCCUAACACAUGCAAGUCGAGCGGUAGAUAAAAGCUUGCUUUUAUCUAUAGCGGCGGACGGGUGAGUAACACGUGGGCAACCUACCUCAAAGUGGGGGAUAGCCUCCCGAAAGGGAGAUUAAUACCGCAUAACAUCAUGAUGUCUCCUGACAUUAUGAUCAAAGGAGUAAUCCGCUUUGAGAUGGGCCCGCGGCGCAUUAGCUAGUUGGUGAGGUAACAGCCCACCAAGGCAACGAUGCGUAGCCGACCUGAGAGGGUGAUCGGCCACAUUGGAACUGAGAUACGGUCCAGACUCCUACGGGAGGCAGCAGUGGGGAAUAUUGCGCAAUGGGGGAAACCCUGACGCAGCAACGCCGCGUGGGUGAUGAAGGUCUUCGGAUUGUAAAGCCCUGUCUUUUGGGACGAUAAUGACGGUACCAAAGGAGGAAGCCACGGCUAACUACGUGCCAGCAGCCGCGGU
rnacentral:rRNA from 1 species